AUCAAGUAAUGGUGAGGACAGGUACGAUACGAUACACACCACUAUCAGGUAAUGGUGAUACACACAUCACUAUCAGGUGACGGUGAGGACAGGUACGAUACGAUACACACACAUCACUAUCAGGUGACGGUGAGGACAGGUACGAUACGAUACACACCACUAUCAGGUAAUGGUGAUACACACAUCACUAUCAGGUGACGGUGAGGACAGGUACGAUACGAUACACACCACUAUUAGGUAACGGUGAGGACAGGUACGAUACGAUACACACACAUCACUAUCAGGUGACGGUGAGGACAGGUACGAUACGAUACACACCACUAUUAGGUAACGGUGAGGACAGGUACGAUACGAUACACACCACUAUUAGGUAACGGUGAGGACAGGUACGAUACGAUACACACCACUAUUGGGUAACGGUGAGGACAGGUACGAUACGAUACACACACAUCACUAUCAGGUGACGGUGAGGACAGGUACGAUACGAUACACAUCACUAUCAGGUAACGGUGAGGACAGGUACGAUACGAUACACACAUCACUAUCAGGUGACGGUGAGGACAGGUACGAUACGAUACACACACAUCACUAUCAGGUGACGGUGAGGACAGGUACGAUAUGAUACACACAUCACUAUCAGGUGACGGUGAGGACAGGUACGAUACGAUACACACAUCACUAUCAGGUGACGGUGAGGACAGGUACGAUACGAUACACACACAUCACUAUCAGGUAACGGUGAGGACAGGUACGAUACGAUACACACACACACAUCACUAUCAGGUAACGGUGAGGACAGGUACGAUACGAUACACACACACAUCACUAUCAGGUAACGGUGAGGACAGGUACGAUACGAUACACACCACUAUCAGGUAAUGGUGAGGACAGGUACGAUACGAUGCGAUACACACUCUUCACAAUUGGUGCCUUCGUUUUUCUC